GGGUUAAUAGGCAAAAAAAUCACCGAACUCAUGAUCAAGUUGCAAUUGGGUCACUGAACUCAAAAAGUUUGCAAACGGAUCACAGAACUGGAUUUAACUUGCAGUCAACUCACCGAACUAAUAAAAAUUUGCAUUUAGGUCACUGUGCCGUUAAGUAUCAGUUGACUUUAACGGAAUCCGUUAAUAAAAAUUGAAAAAAUAUAAAAAUUCGCUUUUUUAAAAACUCGAUUUUGAAAAUUUAAAACUUCGAAAAAAUCUGGAAAUUUGGAAAAAGUCUGAAUUUUUUUUAACUUCAGAA
rnacentral:lncRNA from 1 species